rnacentral:lncRNA from 1 species
CUUUUCCUCAACAACAAAAGACUGCUAACAAGUUUCACAAACAUUUAACAUAGUAAACGAUAGCCAUAAGGUAAUGAAAGUUACAGUGGCAAGUGCUAAAAGAAAAGAAAUGAAGAAACCCAUCGGACCAGUGAGCUCGAUUCCCCUCAUACUGACAACCAUUUACAAUAUGAAGUCACAGCAUGAAAUCACCAAAUUCAUCAAGAAGAAAUAAGAUAGCCCUUCGAAAUAGCUCAUGGAGGGAGGAGGAGAGGGUGGUGACUCCAUGAGCAGCCAUGGCGUGUGAUGACUUGUUGGGAGCAAAGCUU